GCGGCGGGAUUCGGCUCCGGGGCGCCCGGGGGCGGAGGGAGCAGCCCCGGCGAUGCUGUAAGCCGGGCUGGUUCCUGCCCCUUGGUUGUCCCGCGGCGGGCGGGGGUACCGCGCUUGAGCCGCCCGGGGAAGGGGUGCGAAUCCCCGCCCUGGGUGCCCGGGGGCUGCGGGAGCUGCGUCUGCCCGCGCCGCUCCCGAUCCCGCGUCCCGAGCGGCUCCGGCUCGCCCGGAGCGGCAGGAGAUCGGGGGACUCCUGCACAUCCAGGUCCCUGGCCAGGAACAUGCCCCAGUGCCCUGUGGCCAGUGGGCUGAAGUGCGUGCACAGCCGAUGCAAACUUCAGUUACAUGGUAUCACUGAAGCGGCAGAGGCUGUUAGUGCCAGGGUGAAUCACACUUGUGCUGAACAGUCCACUCAGAGAUCUGGGUGGCUUGCGAGUCUCCUUGCGAUGGCACAACAAGAAACCCACCAGCCUCCAGAAGCUUUAACUCUUUGCAGUAGAACAAGAUUAGAGUGACAGAAGAUGUCUCUCAGUUAGAUUGUAAAUGUCCGCAGCAUACACUUCUUUAGGGUUUAAUUUUUUGUACUGCUAAACCUGUCAACCUCCUGAUCUUUUUCGGAAUAUUUCAGUCCUAUUUUAAAACGUAAUUUAAAGUAAAUUUUGAGUUAAAAGAAAAAAUAAUUUUUAUAGCUAGUAAAAGAAAACAACUCUUGCUGAUUGGCAUAUUGCUUCUUUCCCCAGGAGUGCUCUGCCCCGAGUAAGCAAUGACAUUGAAACAGAGCAAAGUAAAUGACAAAUGCAUGCAAUUCAGUGAGUGAGGGCUGACUGAAAGUCCAACUUGAAGUCCACUAAAGUAAUUAGAAAUGUCUUUUUUUUUCUACUUCAGUGGCCUUCUGAUCAGACCUUAAAAGACUAAUAAAACUUUGCACCCUUCUGUGGCAUUUUUCAUCAGUUUCACAAUGCUUUUCUCCAACAAAAAGUAAUUAGACUCUGUGAAGUCCUCUGGGAACAUGUCCUUUCAACAGCUAGCAGUGCUGGGGCACACAGGAUAAGCUGCUUGCAUAACAUAGCACAACAAAUAAACAGAAAAACUGUGAAAACAA